AAUGUUGUUUUGGCUCAACAGUAACACCUGAUCUGACAUUACAGAGCCCUGCGUGAAAACCAGACCAGCUCAGUCAUCAGUGGCGAAUAGUGCAGUGGAUGAGGCCUUGGUUAUUGAGGAUCCCCAACUCAUCACUACUGUGGAGGACAAAGUGUUCAGGAAGCUUGUUAAAGCUCUGAGCCCUGCUGAUGUUCUCCCCACAGGACAGGAGACACUGACACAUGUGUUGGAGCAAACAGGUCAGCCGGCUUAAGGAUGAUUAAAGAGAUGAAUACACAUAUUUGAACAGCACAUACCAUAUGCUCCAACAUCUUCAUGAUCCCAGGGAACCUGCAGGAGC